GCGGGCGGCCAGGCCACCUGCUCCGGGUCGCGCAGAGACGUCCGGGUGGCACCGGGUGGCCCUCGUGAUGGGAGCGUCCCCGGCGGAAGAAAACCUAGCAUCCCUGAGGGUAGGGCAGGAGAGCGGCUUGGUCUGCGCCGUGCACAGCCGCUGCCCCGGCGGAGUCCCCGAGCGGGUUCCCCGGCUCAUCCCUCCCGUCGAGUCCUUCCAACAGCCACUCUGAAACAACCAGGUUGGAAGCAAGUCCUGCGGGGGCUCUGUCGCUCUCCCGUCCCGGCUCCGUUCGCGGCCAUCUGCCGUGGCCUAAUUCUACUCUGCCGUCUACCAAACGGCAGCCACAGCCAGCCAGGGCAGGGGAUGUUCUCAAACACUAAAUGAGGCAAAACAACUAAGAAACAGCAAUAACUACAAGAACUAUAAAUGAUAACAACACCAUCUGCCUGAAGGUCGUAGAGCUUUGUCGUCUUUCCUAUUGCGCUCAGGAGACAGCACUGACUGCAGUGGGUUUUUUAUCAAAAACUGGAUUGCAAAUUGGACUGAUCACCCUUCUCUGCAAAGGGAUAGAAGAGGAGAAAUCUUACUUUUUCCUCAGCCUCUUCAUUUCCCUGUAGUCAUCCUUAUGCUGUCCAGUAGACAGAUGAAGUACAUGGGCUACUCCAUCCUUUCUCUUCAGCUCAGAGAGCUGAGGAUGAGUUUUUCUCAAGGCACUGCCUGCUCCUGCUGUGCCACAUAGCUUCUCUCAUUUCUUGUUUUUGAGAUGCCUCUUCAUAUAUACACAUCUACCCACACAUACAUAUGCACAUUUGCACAUUUUCUAUGUACCCUCAGAUUGCCCUAAUUUCUAUUUAUAAUUUCUUCUUGUUUAUGUGUUCUUUGUAAGACCCAGUACUUCGCAGGAUCUCAGGACAGCCAUGCAGUAAACAGAGGAAAGUCCAUCUUCGCCUGCUCGUGUGUGGGCCAGGAUGAUGCACAGCCGAGAUUAACCCUCAUACAGGUAGAGAACAGGGAAGUCUUUUAAAUGUGUUGUGUCCUGAGCAACCUGAAGGACUCAGUUAAACUCUUUGUAGGAUUACAAACGUGAACUGACUACCCCUGCACUAAGGCAUUAUCUCCACCACAUCUCAUUCCUUCUUGUUUUCUUGGAAAUCAGCGCUAAAGAUUUGUUAUAAACCUUCUAUACUUUCACAGCAAAAGAAACAUAAAUAUGUAAGUGAACCUGCUACUGCCAAUCUCUCAAUGUAAUUUUAAAAAUAUUUCUUACUGCUUGGAAAGAAAUGGAACUUUGGAAUAGAUGGAGGUUCUCUUGGAAAGCUUUCAGAAACAGGGAACCUUCCUCCUUUCUAAACACAGUAGCAAUAAUAAUGGUGGUGACGAUGAUGAUGGAGCACAUAAAAAAUGGAUGAAAGGAAGGUCUGAAGACCCAGCUGAUGAACUAUGCCAUCUAGAGAGAGCCAUGUGUUUCCCCUUCCGAUGUCACAUCUCUGCCGUAGGUUGAGGUUAUGGUGGCGGCAUCUGAAAGUAACCUGCACUUAAUAUUCAUCACUUGCCUUCUUACUCCAAGAACAGAACAAAAACCCUGCUCUCAGCAAUUUUUCUUGGGGGUAGUCUGAUUUCCAAGGCUCCUCACGGAGAGGAGCAGGGAGCACUGCCUGCCAGCCUCUCCUUGAGUUAGAAGAACACACCCACGCCCUCCCACUACUCCCUCUCCCUUUUUUUUUUUUUAAAUUGUUUUUCCUUUUUCCCUCCUUAAGCGACGCCUGCCCGGAGCCAGAGGGGCAGAGUUUGGCCCCGGGACGGCCGCAGGACGCCCCCGGGCGCUGCCCCGGCGGGGCCGGGCGGGAUGCGGGAAGAUGCGCCCCCUCCGCCGGCACUGCCCCGACCCCUGGCGGCCGCGCACGGCGCAUCGCCCAGUGCAGCGCAAGUCCAGCUCAAGUCUCGCUCAAACCCGGCGCGGCAGAACACGAGAAACUUCCAAGUACGAACCGUUUAGAAGCAAUGUUCCGAAUCAAAAAUGUCAUUCUAAAAUGUUUUGCAGCGUAGAGCGUGAGAAGUGAUCUUUUCAUGCCUUCCCAGUGGGAAUCGAGGCUAUCUGUCUCAUGUAGAUUCAGAUCUGUAGAGUAUCAUCUGUGACACGAAAAUAUGAAGGGAAAUGAGCUACUACCUGCUUACUGCAGCUGUUGAGGCAGUCUGGGGCAUCAGUUUCACUCAGAGGCAAAUGGUCCUACUAUAGCAAGAGGCAGACUCAAGGUAUUGUCCAAUUUACAGACACAGGCCAGUCAUUUUCAAAAAGUUAAAAUUUAGUUUUUGAAUUGGGAUGAUUAAACGCCAAACAUUUCAUUUUGUUUCACUUAUCCUGUACUCAGGGUGGUGGCUAAGAAAGGUGUAGAGCACAGGUAAGUCAGGCAAUAAGCAAAGCAAGCCUUCCAGUAGAACAAGCACUGUCCCACUGUCUCCACCCUGAAGGGCUGUUCAAGCAGCAGGAUCUUCACACUGAGAGAAGCAGAGGAGAAGCAACGUGUCUGGUGCUUCAAGGCCUGGUGCACGGCGAUGACUGCCACAGGGCAGGAAAGUGGAUGAGCCAACAAGUAAGGUAAUACAUGCUCAGCCUACUAAUAUUUGUGGAUAAAAUGAAAAGAGCAGCUGUGACAGGAAAAGUAAAGGUACAGUCUUUAAAUUUUUACCAUCAACACUUCCAAGUAAUCUGCCAGACUGGGUGAAGUCCAUUAAAAAUCAAGGGCACAACUUCUUUCAAAUUAGAAAAAUUCAAAUAUGUCUGACUACUAUUAAAUUGAACAGAGGAAUAAAAAUUAUUAUGUGGCUGUCACUAAUUAAAGCAAUAAUUAGUGAGAUGUUGACCUAUUUUAAAGAUUUAUAGUUCCUCAUCUCUCCUCUGUAGAGGAUUCUAAGGGCCAAUCAGAAUAAAUCAUUUCCUUGAAAAGAGCACCAAAAUCCCAAAAGAAAACAAAAAUCCGUGGGUUUUUCUUCUUUGCAUUUCUUUUGCUCAAUUUCAAACAACUAAAAUGUCAGAUUCCCCACAUUAGUCAGACCGGUGACAUCAGCUAUAGGUUUCAGGUCAUGAGUAUUUAAGAAAUACAUAGAAACCUCUCAGUUAAAAAGAAAGAAGUGUUAAUUUUAUCUUGGUAAGUGUAAAAUCAAAACAAUAUAUGUACCUGUUCAGAUAGGUCUUCUGCACUUAUAUGUUCACAAACUUAAUUUUAGUAAGCUUGACUUUUUAGCAAGAUGUUGCACACUUAUACCAAGAGCCAGGUUUAAACAUGCAUGGUCAAGAUUUGAAGUACAUAGGAUGCAAUACACAUUUCAAAAGGAAUUCCAUCCUUCCCUAAAUGAAGUGUUGAUUUAAGAUGGCGCUGCAGCACAUACUGCAGUCCCCAGUUGUGCUUCAGAUCCAUAGCUACGUACUGGAAUACGAGCCCCGCUAACUGCCAGGACAGGACAAACACUUUGGGACUGCUGAAUCCCUUUGAACUGAAGGUUCAUACUACUAACACAGCCAUGGUCUGACCAAGGUCAGUGUUCACACUACACUAUUAGUGCAGUCAAUUAAAUGCAUCCAAGCGCUUCCUAAUAAUAUACACGCAAUAAAAAUAGAGCAUUAAUCCUACAUAAAGAGAAAUAAUACAUAAUAAUAGCAGAGUCGACCCAGAAACACUUUUCCGUAUCUAUGAAAAAUGUAGGGCUUCUGGAAUACUGUGUGAGAAAGAACACAAUCACUUUACUGAAUGGCAAUAAUAGAAACAAAACAAAUGUUGCUUGAGAACAUGGAACAUCAUGGUCUGGAAUAAAUGAAACCGUUUCAUGUUGUAAGUUAGGACUACAAGUGUCUGGAAACAGAGGGAGGAAGAGGACUUGGGGUAUUAUUUUGUUGCAUAAUAUCUGCAUGCCACAUGCGUGAUAUACACCUGGAAAAAAAAAAAAAGCUAGUGGGAUACUAUUAGAGGAAAUUAUUUUAUGCUAUAGCCCUAGAUGUAGGCAAGUUUUCAUUGGGAUUAUGUCACCCCAUUAAUCGUCAAACAAAAGGCUACUAAGAUAGCAAAGAGGAUGAAGAGUCUCCAGUCAUGAACUGAUGACAAGAACUUGAUUUGUCAGCUCAGCAAAGUGAAGUCAGAGGGGAAGUAUGACAGCUCUUGGCAAAUAUCAGAGGACAAACGAUGCUAGGAUAGGCAAAGAAGUAAUUGUACUACUAGGAUGCUAGCACUAAUGUUACCUUGAAAAAAAAUCCAAACCCCUAACCUAAGCAUAAAGGGAACUAAAUUAAUAAAUAACCUUCUCAUAAGCUGGUGGAAGACAAGAAAAAAAUCAUUUGAAGAGUGAGUAGCUGAAUUCAUUUACUAGGAAGAGUAUUCUGACUGUUUUCUGCUGAAAUCUAAAAAAAAAAAAAAUAGGUCUCAGCCUGGAUCAAGAAAAAUAUUUCUUGUGUAUUUAGGAGCUCAAAAUCUAGGACAAUUUUAAAAUAAGAGCAUGUUUUGAAAGGGAAUUAGAGAAAGAACGAGAACAAAAGAGAAAGUGAAAGAGGAAGAGACAGAAAAAAAAAGGAGAAACAAAGAGAAAUAGGAAGAAAUUGAGAAAAGGAAGGAAGAGAAGUAUUUUCAAAUAAAACAAAAUGUUCACAACAAGGUGUUUUAAUCCAUUAAUUCAAGGUGAAUUUUUGAAUUGGGUAAAUUAACAAAAUGUACAAUUUCGCUGCUUGGUUUCAAUGAGUCAGCAAUUUUUUCUUACACAUAUUAUUAAAAAAUUCUAAGUGCGCUAUACGAACAACCUCUGUUCUUGUUUGAAGUGUUCCUUCUGUCACUAUGCAAAACUUGCAUAAUAAGAUACACUUCAAUAUGUCAAUAAUAUUGUAAGCUUACAGGAACAGAAAAUCCAGGUAUGUUACGGCUGUUCUAAAAUUACUGGAAAUAAAUUCUCUAAAUCAAAGAAUUCAAAAGCUUUUUCUUUUUGUUCAUUUUUCUGAUUUUAAGCAAAGAGAUAAGGAAAAUGCAAAGAUGACUUGUUUACAGGUUUUGUAGAUUGACAGAAGAACAUUUAGCAAGGUUUAUGUUAUACUAACUGCAAGCAAUCAAAGAAACACAGGUCCUGGAUGUUUAUGAUAUAUUGUUUUUGUCUGCAUGGUGAUUUGCAUACAGGCAUAUAGAGAUUAAAAAUAUGGAUAAAUCAAUGCAGCCCAGAUACCAACUAUAUUAACGUUAAUCCAUUUUCAAACAAUUAGCAGUCCAUAAAGACAUGUUACAUCAUGUUAUAAAUUUCAGCAAUAUAUAAACUUCUUUUUUUUUUUUUUAAUUUUCUCUCAACUUUGGAGACAAAGAACACAUCAGAGAAAAGUCAUCUAAGGAUGCAAAAUCUUAAGGAAUCCUAAAUACACGAAAACAAGAAGUUAGAAAUGAAAACACCUGACUGUUUUUACCAUCUUAAACUACAGAAAAACACUGCCACCUUUGCAGAUACAACACAUGAGCCUGCAAGAUGAAGGCUAUUCUGUGGCUCACGUGUGGAUGUGAAGGAACAAAGACUACCCAGCUCACCUGCAUGGAAACUAUGAAACUACCUGGAAAAUUUGGGGAAUACUGAGCUGAGCAUUUAUUGGGAAGACUGCCACUGAUUCUGAGUAGAAAUGAAGAAUGAGUUUCUAUUCAAACUUAAGUGAAGAGAAAUAAUUCUGCAACCUCAGAAGUUUAUAGAGCAAUAUGGAGAAGCACAGAAAGGAGACAAAUAGUUCAAAGUACAAUAGAACGGUGAAAAGUACUUUUUUUAAAAUUUAUAAUGCAUUUUCCUCUGUUGCCUGUGCUCAUCCUUUUGUGUUCAGCUUAAGACAGUUGUGCAAACAAGCUUCUUUAACAUUUUGUGGGCAAACACAAAAAUCAAUAGAUUUUUAUGUCUCCACAUACACGGGGUUUGUUCAAUUUAUUCAAGCACUCACCCUCUCAGAAAGUAAGAACAAUUUUGUCCAGCAAGCAAGAACUACAAACAAGUCCCAAGUGAUUAAGGGAUGCCUUUGAAGAACCUUUUUCUGGUGAAAACUUGUCAGCAGAAGCUGUGUUUGUUGGAUUCUUGACCGCAGGAUAUUUCUUCCUUGAGCCGCAUGACGUAGGAUGAAGGGCAGAGGAGACACUGAUUUGGGAUAAACCUGGAGGACUGGGACUGCAGUUCCAGCCCAAAGCCUAACUUGAAGGAGGGGAUAUGAGUCUGAUAAGGAACAGGAGGACAAAUCUUUCCUUCUUCUUAUAUGUGCCCAGAUCUGGGAUUUAGAAAGACCAAUAAAGGCAAGCAGUAGCUAA